GACGAACGCUGGCGGCGUGCUUAACACAUGCAAGUCGAACGGAAAGGCCCUUCGGGGUACUCGAGUGGCGAACGGGUGAGUAACACGUGGGUGAUCUGCCCUGCACUUUGGGAUAAGCCUGGGAAACUGGGUCUAAUACCGAAUAGGACCACGCGCUUCAUGGUGUGUGGUGGAAAGCUUUUGCGGUGUGGGAUGGGCCCGCGGCCUAUCAGCUUGUUGGUGGGGUAAUGGCCUACCAAGGCGAGGAAGGGUAGCCGGCCUGAGAGGGUGACCGGCCACACUGGGACUGAGAUACGGCCCAGACUCCUACGGGAGGCAGCAGUGGGGAAUAUUGCACAAUGGGCGCAAGCCUGAUGCAGCGACGCCGCGUGAGGGAUGACGGCCUUCGGGUUGUAAACCUCUUUCGCCAGGGACGAAGCGCAAGUGACGGUACCUGGAGAAGAAGGACCGGCCAACUACGUGCCAGCCGCCGCAGUAA
rnacentral:rRNA from 1 species